UGCAGGGAGAAGACGCCGCUGAAAACCAGCUCUGACUGGCUCUGUGUUACAGAACUUGUACAAAAGCAUAAAAAGGAAGACUGCUGUUCAGCAUCCCCUCUACUCACAGCUGUCCCUUGACUUCUGGGUGCACCUUGCACUCACCCUGGACCAUCAGCAUCCGAGGGAAGUCGAAUGAGAAGCUCUCUGUUAAGUACUCAGGACACUCCCAGCUCAUGGUGAGUUCCCCGUCCACAUUGGGAAGAAACUGCUGCGGAAUUGUUCUCAGUGCUGUGGAGGUGUUCCCCUGAGGGGCUGACACCAGGCCUGCAGUGUUCGGCACGACUGCCCACCUGGGGCUUCGAGCUCCACCCUCCCCUGCCCCACUUGGCCUCCUUCUGCAGCCAUUAGCCCUCCUUAC